UACGGAGGGUGCGAGCGUUACCCGGAAUCACUGGGCGUAAAGGGCGCGUAGGCGGUCGUGACAAGUCACUUGUGAAAUCUCCGGGCUUAACUCGGAACGGUCAAGUGAUACUGUCGGACUAGAGUACAGAAGGGGCAACUGGAAUUCUCGGUGUAGCGGUGAAAUGCGUAGAUAUCGAGAGGAACACCUGCGGCGAAGGCGGGUUGCUGGGCUGAUACUGACGCUGAGGCGCGAAAGCCAGGGGAGCGAACGGG
rnacentral:rRNA from 1 species